UAGGGAAUCUUCGGCAAUGGGGGGAACCCUGACCGAGCAACGCCGCGUGAGUGAAGAAGGUUUUCGGAUCGUAAAGCUCUGUUGUUAAGGAAGAACGAGUGUGAGAAUGGAAAGUUCAUACUGUGACGGUACUUAACCAGAAAGGGACGGCUAACUACGUGCCAGCAGCCGCGGUAAUACGUAGGUCCCGAGCGUUGUCCGGAUUUAUUGGGCGUAAAGCGAGCGCAGGCGGUUAGAUAAGUCUGAAGUUAAAGGCAGUGGCUCAACCAUUGUAGGCUUUGGAAACUGUUUAACUUGAGUGCAGAAGAGGAGAGUGGAAUUCCAUGUGUAGCGGUGAAAUGCGUAGAUAUGUGGAGGAACACCGGUGGCGAAAGCGGCUCUCUGGUCUGUAACUGACGCUGAGGCUCGAAAGCGUGGGGAGCGAACAGG
rnacentral:rRNA from 1 species